GACGAACGCUGGCGGCGGGCUUAACACAUGCAAGUCGAACGGAAAGGCCCUGCUUUUGUGCGGUGCUCGGGUGGCGAACGGGUGAGUAACAAGUGAGUAACCUGCCCUUUACUUUGGGAUAACUUCAGGAAACUGGGGCUAAUACCGGAUAGGAGCUCCCGUUGCAUGGUGGGGGUUGGAUAGUUUCGGCGGUUGGGGAUGGACGCGCGGCUUUUCAGCUUGUUGGUGGGGUAGUGGCUUACCAAGGCUUUGACGGGUCGCCGGCCUGAGAGGGUGACCGGCCCCAUUGGGACUGAGAUACGGCCCAGACUCCUACGGGAGGCAGCAGUGGGGAAUAUUGCACAAUGGGCGGAAGCCGGAUGCAGCAACGCCGCGUGCGGGAUGACGGCCUUCGGGUUGUAAACCGCUUUCGCCUGUGACGAAGCGUGAGUGACGGUAAUGGGUAAAGAAGCACCGGCUAACUACGUG
rnacentral:rRNA from 1 species